UACAGAGGGUGCAAGCGUUGCUCGGAAUCACUGGGCGUAAAGCGCACGUAGGCGGCUUCUUAAAGUCAGGGGUGAAAUCCCCGGGCUCAACCCGGGAACUGCGUCCGAUACUGGAAGGCUUGAAUCCGGGAGAGGGAUGCGGAAUUCCGGGUGUAGCGGUGAAUGCGUAGAUAUCUGGAGGAACACCGGUGGCGAAGGCGGCAUCCUGGACCGGCAUUGACGCUGAGGCGCGAAAGCCAGGGGAGCAAACGGG
rnacentral:rRNA from 1 species